UACGGAGGGUGCGAGCGUUGUCCGGAAUCACUGGGCGUAAAGGGCGCGUAGGUGGCUCGUGAAGCGUGCGGUGAAAGUCCGAGGCUCAACCUCGGAUCGGCCGUGCGGACUCGCGGGCUCGAGCGUGUAGAGGCGGGUGGAAUUCCGGGUGUAGCGGUGGAAUGCGUAGAGAUCCGGAAGAACACCGGUGGCGAAGGCGGCCCGCUGGGCAACUGCUGACACUGAGGCGCGACAGCGUGGGGGAGCAAACAGG
rnacentral:rRNA from 1 species